AUGGCACAACGCUUUUUGAUGAUGUUGGGACUUCCAUUGAUACCGAGAACCUUGUCAGUCCACUCGUUGGAGAAGAGCCCCUCUGGGUCGUACCUAUCUUUCACCCUAAGAAACUCAUGGACUUUUGGGUACUUCGUGAUGGCACCAUCGAAGGCGAAAUUGCGGCUCUUACCCCAGUGCGGGAUGCCGCCGUACUUAUGCAACGCCAGCUGCUCGAGCUCGUCCACUACAUCGGCAUGCGCACGCGGCAUGCCUUCGGUGUGGCUCCGGUAA
rnacentral:rRNA from 1 species